GCGGGGCCGGGGUUUGUGUGUGCCCGGGCCGGGGGCGGCGGCCGGGCGGGCUGUGUGAGGGGUCGCAGCGCCGCUGAGCCUCUCCAGCUCCAUAGUCAUGGAAUCGGGUCAUACGGAGGUUGGAAGCGUGUCCAGGGGAGCGAGGAGCUGUGAAUCCUGUGUUGCGGCUGCCUGAGCUGGAAGGCUUUCAUGGGCGAGUACAGUGCUUGGAUCGCCAGAGCUGUCGCUUCAACAUCCUUCAGCAGCACUAAAGCAGCUUUGAAGAAAACCACUAGCCAAGAACUCGCUGGGAAAGGCCAAGUCAGGAGAAAAGGAAAGGCUGAUUGCAGGAGAGUGUGAUGUGUAUACAGGGAGAAGUAAGUCAGAAAAAGUUGAGCUGCUUGAACGUCCAAGUUAAACAAGGGACAGAGCGCAGCUGAACAACCCCGUUCCUCGACAUGCAUCGUCCUAACGCCUCCUCCUGACCCGACGCCACGGGAAAGGGCCUCCUCAGCCGUAUCUGUAGGAAUUUGCCAUGUGUUUAGGCAGGAAGGUGAAGUUGGUAGCUACGGCUCCCAGAAGCAGCUCACUAGAAGAAAGAAAAGAACAAAAACGUCGUUUCAGUCGGGACGGACAAAUGACAAGACUCUCCUUGAAGAGUUAAGUUAAGCGCACUCUUUAUUACAAACUUGGCUUUCUUAUAUAUCUAAUCUUUUGUUCACGCUCCGUUCACGCGUUCUUUCUACGCAUUCAAUUGGUUAGGUGACAUAGCACACGCGCUCGUAGCUACAAUACGAUUGGUUAUUGAAAUCCUGUUCACAUUGCUCAAAAUCUGGCUUUCUCACAGCCUAACUCUCGUUGUUCUCUCAAGCAAUCUUCUUCUUUCUCCUUUUUGUUACGUUGUCCUUAUACGACGCAACUCGCGGCCUUCUUAUGGGUACACUGCAAUCUCUGUCUCUUCUGUCAAGGGGUCUAUGGACCCGCUGUAUCCCCGAACAACUCCCCCUUUUUGUAUUUGUGCUACAAAUGCCGCCCCCAUCACCUGCUGCAGGGCCCUUUGCAGUAGGGAGAUGAGACAUGGCACCAUCAUUAACACAACUACAACUAUCAACAAUAUUAUUAAUCCUGCUUUGACUAUUGAAACCAGCCAUCCCGAGAGUCCCCAGUUUUGCAAAAGGUCAUCAAAAGAGAAGAACCCAUCCUCUUCCUUUAACUUUUUCUUUCGUUCGUUCCAUCAACUCUUGUAUGCGUGCAUGAAUAGAUCGAGAGUGGUCUGAUAAAUUCAUGCAGCACAUCCCAUCAAAAUCUUGGCAGCCAUGACUUUGAGCCAGCAACAAAAAAUCUAUUGCAGCUCGAUUCUGCAGUGUGGCAUGUCUAACUGAGUCUACAUCUAACAGUAAAGUACUCAAAACUAGAGAAGUAGCAUUAGAUUGCUCAGCCAGCCAACAUCCAAGCUUGUUAAGCGCAGCGAGCGCUUUAGCUGACACCACCCCGGGGGCUAAAAAGGAUGCUGCGAUUAUUUCUCCAGGGUUCCAAAAUUGUACAUUGUCAUUGCAGCUAUUUCUGAAUGCGUGAGCACUUUGUUUUGGUGCCUGUGGUGCUGCACAAUCAUAGAUAUA